CAGCCGCCGCGGGAAUACGGAGGGUGCAAGCGUUAAUCGGAAUUACUGGGCGUAAAGCGUGCGCAGGCGGUUAUAUAAGACAGAUGUGAAAUCCCCGGGCUCAACCUGGGAACUGCAUUUGUGACUGUAUAGCUAGAGUACGGCAGAGGGGGAUGGAAUUCCGCGUGUAGCAGUGAAAUGCGUAGAUAUGCGGAGGAACACCGAUGGCGAAGGCAAUCCCCUGGGCCUGUACUGACGCUCAUGCACGAAAGCGUGGGGAGCAAACAGGAUUAGAUACCCGGGUAGUCCCUGUCUCUUAUAC
rnacentral:rRNA from 1 species